ACAGAGGGGGCAAGCGUUGUUCGGAAUUACUGGGCGUAUAGGGCGCGUAGGCGGCCUUCUAAGUCGAACGUGAAAUCCCCGGGCUCAACCCGGGAACUGCGUCUGAUACUGGUUGGCUUGAGUGCAGGAGAGGAAUGCGGAAUUCCAGGUGUAGCGGUGAAAUGCGUAGAUAUCUGGAGGAACACCGGUGGCGAAGGCGGCAUUCUGGACUGCAACUGACACUGAAAGACGAAAGCCAGGGGAGCAAACGGGA
rnacentral:rRNA from 1 species